UGCAUGUAGGAGUUUAUUAGUAUUGAUAAAUUCUAAUUAACAAAUAUUGUAUGUGAAUUGGUUACUCACAAUUCCAACCGACACGUCUUUUGACUUGAAGAGUUCGGUUAAUGCAUAGUUACAGUCAUUAUGCGAAUAGAUGCAAACUUUCGGAAAAGCCGUAUGGCAUCUAUAUAUAUGUGUGUUUUCAUGCAUAAUAAACAUACUAAAAGAUAAUAGUUGCAUGCACAGAAAAGAGUCUCGGACGUGUAUGCGUAUAUAUACAUAGUAUACAUUAAACUUCUUAAUUCUUUAUCCAUCAAAAGAAUUAUUAAAGGCUUGGGGUUAAAGAGGGGAUAACAUCAAUUGAAGAAUCCAAUUAAAGAAGAUAAACAUCAAAUGGUGGAUUUCAACCUCUACAACAAAUGAAGAAAGCAUGGAUGGAGCGGUCUCGCCGUUGUUGCCUCUGUGCACUUACCGUCAGCGUCGCACCGAGGCUGCCGUUUCACUGCCGGAACAGCCGCUGCCUCGAGGGCAGCUCACAGCAUCUGCUCGACGCCAUACGCUCCUCCGUCGGCUAAGCUCGGAGCCUCCCGACGGCUCUUUCCUAAGCUAAGUUCCUCAUCCUAAAAUUCAGUUCUUGACUCAUGGUACUUGCUUUAGAAUUUUGGGUUUUAGAGUUGGCCGAAUCUGAGUUUUAGGAGGGACAAGCUCUCAUCCUAAAUCCUUUUAUCAUUUAGAAUUUGAGAGGGGUUGCUGUUAUGGGAUCUAAAGCUUGAGAGGGAUUAAAAUUUUUCUGUUUCAUUUUAAAACUGAAUAAAAGAGCAUGCUUGAGCUCUGUGUUCUAUUGUUCUUCCAUUAUUUCUAUUAUGCCAUGAUUUUGAAGUGGUGGUGCCCUAAACAUGCUUGAGGUUUAUUUCCCCAUAUGAACAUGUUGUGAUGUUUUAAGUGGAUGAAAAGAAGGUAUAAGGGUGAGUAUGUGCUACCUGAUUCCUUGUGGCUGAUGGAUUGGGAAAAACUCCCACUUCAAAUGGUGUUUGAAAGGCACAGCAACUUCUACUCACUCUCUUACUCUCGGUUGUGAUUUGUGGGGAAGGAAGAAUGUGAUUUUGAAGUGGUGAGUGGUGAAGGGAAACCGAUAUUGAAGGGGAAAACAUAUAUAUAAGCUGUUGCUGCAAUUUGUUGAGAUAUGGCAGAAAUCAAAUCAGCAUUCUUUGGCUCUUUGUUCCCAUUGAUUGGCUGUUUGUGGGGCAGUACAUAAGAUGUACUCAUGAAUCAAUAAAUGGGUUGAUCCUAUUGUGCAACGAAUCCCCUCUUUGCUUUGAACUUAAUUUGUUUUGGUGGUAAUUGGAGUAGAGUACUUGGCUAAUAACUCCCUUUUUGUUUGAUUGUAUUAGGUAUACAUAUAGUAAUGCAGGAGCAGACUUUGCUCCUUUAGCAAGGCAUAGGUCUUUUGUUGAUAAAGUAGUGUUGCCUGUCCCCUUACUUGCAAAACAUAGGACUAGAGUAUUAACUCAGUGAGAGGAGAGCUGAUUUCUUUUGCAGGAGGUGCAGCUAGUUGAAAUGCCCAUAUGUAUACAACAUUAAAUUCUAUUACCUCCUUGUUUAGUAGAUGUAGACAUAUUCAUUCUUUCAUUUGUAAAAGUUCCAAGGCCUCGGUUCAUUGGUGUAACCAUGUAAUAAUCCAUGACAUUCCAUCUCAAACAAUUUCAAUAACUAU